rnacentral:lncRNA from 1 species
GAGACAUUUUAUCCUGAUGUUCAGCUGUCAUCGGCCUUGUGUGAUUAAACGUGUUGUUCUGAAUGCAGAUUAGCACCACAGGUUUCUCUGCUGAUGAACAGAUGCAUCAUCUUUCUGUCUUGGUCUGGGUGGCUGUCAGCUUUGCUGUCAGCCGCUGUGUGGAGCUGCACACGCUGUCUGAAGUGUCCGCUCACUGUGGAGAUGAGGUGACGCUGCCGUGUGAUGCCAGCGCAUCAGGCCAGCUGGACAUUAAACUAUUUUCCUGGCUGGCCAAAAAUAGGACUGUGUGUGAGUAUAAACAGAACCGAACUGAACCGGACAUCCAGUGUAACAGCAGCAGCAGCAACAGCAGCAAUAGCCUCACCCUGAUCAUCAACCGUGUGAUGCCCGUCCAUAAUGGGAUGUACAUCUGCAAGCUGCGUUCCACUGCAGGAACAGAUUCCAAACAAACUGUGCUUACAGUGAAAGAGUGCAUUAGAAGUCAGCCCCCCUCUGUCACUGUGUCCAGUCAGGAGAAAAACAGUGUGAAGGGGCAGGAGUCAGGGAGUCACAUCAGGAGGAUCUGUGUGCUGCUGCAAGUCGUCACCGUGACCUUCAUCAUGACAUAGACAAACAGGGACAGUCCCUGGAGACUGGUGACUGUGUGGCUCUUCCUCCUCCUGCUGAAUCUUGUUGGUCUCCUCCUGUAGCUGUCUCAGAGAUCAGUGUAGUCGGCCCCUGUAACAGUGUGACCCUUUUCCAGGUGGUCCAGCAGCAGAAAACAGAGACCAUCACCUUGAUGCAGACCUCACUUAUUUGGAGACUCUGUCUGUUUCCACUGUUUGGAUUGUUCUCUGGUUGGUUUUUGAGGAGGCACAGUUCCUGCUCGACGCACCUCCACCGGUGCCAGAGUACAAGCUGCAGGGUCUUCAGCUGGGAGCCGUGCCUCACUAAUGUUUCGCCCCUUUAAUCUCCAGAACAUCGCAGGAUGGUGGGGCAGCAGACAGGGAUGCCUCCCUGCAGCUGGAUUUGGGUGGUCGGGUUAACACUGGAGUCCCUCUUGCCUAUGUUCUUGUCAUUUCUUCUCAGCCAGAGCCCGAACCUUCUCUGCUUCUUCUGAGAGAUCCUUUACGACCCUCUUGGCCUUGGCCGAUGUCACACACACACAGGUCACAGUUUCUGAAUGAAAACUCUUUUACACUAGACCUCAAACCUAUCAAUCACCCGCCUGUAAAUACAGCAUAAUAAACAGGAGCCAUUGAUCUGGACA